AUUGGCUCCUGACUCGUGGCAGCCACAAUCAUAACCACUACCCGGCCCCAUGCCGGAGGACGCCCUGGCAUGGACAGCUAGCCGCAAGGAGCAGAUCACCAGGCCUUUCUGCGUUGCCCAUCUGACUAUGGAAACUCCACUGAAACCUCGUCAGUGUCAUAGCAGCAGGAGGUGCUGGACUCAUCACAGUAUUUGAACUUGGAGAGCCCUGGCGAUGGCAGACUACCUCGGACUAGGAAACCGGGACUCAGAUGGGAGAGUGACUUGGCCAGGGUCACGCUCCGGUGUUGAUAGCUGAACUGGCAUGACCUUCAAGUUCUGCACUCUCUGCCUGGGGCUCAAAGAACCACCCAGAAAGAAAAGCUGGAACAAAUUAGAUGCCACUUUGCAGAAUGUCUGCUACAUGCAGCCUGGCCAUGGUUCCCCUCCUCCUCCACCCUUUCCUCCUGUGCC